AACCUAGCACACCUGCGGUGUGUACCUGCGGAGGGAUCAUUAACGAGUUACCACUCUAUAACCCUUUGUGAACAUACCUACAUGUUGCUUCGGCGGUCGGCCCCCCCGGGCCCCCGGCCCCGCUCACGCGGGGCGUCCGCCGGAGGAUAACCAAACUCUGAUUUAACGACGUUUCUUCUGAGUGGCACAAGCAAAUAAUCAAAACUUUCAACAACGGAUCU
rnacentral:misc_RNA from 1 species